CCUUCGGUAGCUCAGUGGAAGAGCGCGGGUUAUAAUGUAAAGAUUAGAUGUGUGUUCAUCCCGAGGUCGCUGGAUCGAAACCAGCUCGAAGGA